rnacentral:rRNA from 1 species
UAACUCCGUGCCAGCAGCCGCGGUAAUACGGAGGAUGCAAGCGUUAUCCGGAUUCACUGGGUUUAAAGGGUGCGCAGGCGGACAUUUAAGUCAGGGGUGAAAUCCUACAGCUUAACUGUAGAACUGCCCUUGAUACUGAAUGCCUAGAGUAAAGCUGAAGUGGGCGGAAUGUGUUGUGUAGCGGUGAAAUGCUUAGAUAUAACACAGAACACCAAUCGCGAAGGCAGCUCACUAAACUUUAACUGACGCUCAUGCACGAAAGCGUGGGGAGCAAACAGGAUUAGAUACCCUGGUAGUCCACGCCCUAAACGAUGAUCACUCGCUGUUGGCGAUAUAUUGUCAGUGGCUAAGCAAAAGUGAUAAGUGAUCCACCUGGGGAGUACGACCGCAAGGUUGAAACUCAAAGGAAUUGACGGGGGCCCGCACAAGCGGAGGAGCAUGUGGUUUAAUUCGAUGAUACGCGAGGAACCUUACCAGGGCUCGAACGCAGGAGGAAUACUCCCGAAAGGAAGUAGCCAGAAAUGGCCGCCUGCGAGGUGCUGCAUGGUUGUCGUCAGCUCGUGCCGUGAGGUGUCAGGUUAAGUCCUAUAACGAGCGCAACCCCUAUUCAUAGUUGCCAGCAUAUUACGGUGGGGACUCUAUGAAAACUGCCUGCGCAAGCAGUGAGGAAGGUGGGGAUGACGUCAAAUCAGCACGGCCCUUAUGUCCUGGGCUACACACGUGCUACAAUGGCCGGUACAGAAGGCCGCAACCACGCAAGUGGAAGCUAAUCCCUAAAACCGGUCUCAGUUCGGAUUGGAGUCUGCAACCCGACUCCAUGAAGCCGGAUUCGCUAGUAAUCGCACAUCAGCCAUGGCGCGGUGAAUACGUUCCCGGGCCUUGUACACACCGCCCGUCAAGCCAUGGAAGCUGGGGGUGCCUGAAGUCCGUAACCCCGACUACUCGAGGAGCGGCCUAAGGUAAACUCAGUGACUGGGGCUAAGUCGUAACAAGGUAGCCGUACCGGAAGGUGCGGCUG